CUUGGGAGGCUGAAGCAGGAGGAUUGCUGCGAGUUCAAGACCAGCCUGGGCUACAUAGUGAGACCCUGUCUCACCCCUGCCCCCAAAAGUGAGAGAUGAAAAAGUCCACUCUUCCAGGUGGGAGUGGCCGGGGAGAAGUGCUUACGGCCCAUCAGGGCAGAUGGAAGCACAGGGUGCGCGGGCUCCGUGGUCCUUCCUGUGCAUUUAGCGCCGUCCCACGGAGACGCAACCCUCCGGCUCGGCCGGAACAGCACUUUUCUGUCGCUCAUCUGAUGAUGUUCCAUUGUAUCUCAAACACAGAUUCGUCCCCGUCGGACCAGUGCAGGCCGGCUCUGGUUCAUUUUGAUGUCACCUCCUCAUUUCCUACGACCAUAAACUUGCUUCCAGGCAAACAAGAUGUUCUAGUCUCGUCCUUAUGUGUGCUCGCGUGAAGCCAAUCCACAAACUGUGACUUAAACCUUUCCACACGCAGUCCAGGGGCAUUUAGUUCAUUCACAGUGUUGAGCAAACACCACUUCCCUCUCCAGAAAUACUUUCAUUAACUCAUUGAACAAUAACUUACUCCGCCAGCUCCUUGGUAGCCUCUAUUCUAAUUCCUGCCAGAGUUUGUCUCAGUGUGUCACCUUUUGUGACUGGUUUAGUUACUCAGCCUUUGUGCAGGUCAUCCGGGGUGGAGUGUGACUCAGCGCUCCUGUCUCUCGGGAGUAAACACUGUCCUGUGGUAGGGAUGGGCUACAUUCUGUUUAUCCAUUCAUCCCGAAUAGGCAGGGGGGCCUCCUCCCUGGAAGCAGGAGGGAGGUGUCACUGUGCUGGAAGGAAGGGGUGACACACAUAGCUGUCGGAGAAGAAUGGGUAGG
rnacentral:lncRNA from 1 species